CCUACGGGCGGCAGCAGUGGGGAAUAUUGGACAAUGGGGGCAACCCUGAUCCAGCCAUGCCGCGUGUGUGAAGAAGGCCCUCGGGUUGUAAAGCACUUUCAGUGAGGAAGAACGCCUGGUGGUUAAUACCCAUCAGGAAAGACAUCACUCACAGAAGAAGCACCGGCUAACUCCGUGCCAGCAGCCGCGGUAAUACGGAGGGUGCGAGCGUUAAUCGGAAUUACUGGGCGUAAAGCGCGCGUAGGUGGCUUGAUAAGCCGGUUGUGAAAGCCCCGGGCUCAACCUGGGAACGGCAUCCGGAACUGUCAAGCUAGAGUGCGGGAGAGGAAGGUAGAAUUCCCGGUGUAGCGGUGAAAUGCGUAGAGAUCGGGAGGAAUACCAGUGGCGAAGGCGGCCUUCUGGACUGACACUGACACUGAGGUGCGAAAGCGUGGGUAGCAAACAGGAUUAGAUACCCCUGUAGUC
rnacentral:rRNA from 1 species